GUAACAUCCAUGUUCUACUUGUUAUAUCAGUACUCUGCCUUCAAAAUGGAAUUCCUCCGUUUGACCCAUUUCUCAACAGAAGGUUCUUUUCUGGGCUAGGUCAAAUCCAUUAAGCUGAAAAACGUAUCCAUGCUAAUGAUCAGUCAUAGGUUAAUUGCUCACCCCAUUUGAAAGUAUAUGUUCAUUAUAACAGGCAUUUCUAGGCAUUAUCUUAAUCUGUGGUUUAUUGAAGAAAUUUCAGAUACCAUAAUAGAUGACAUAUAGUGAAGUGCAUAGAUGAUUAAGAUUUUCUAAGGACAUUCCAAGUGAGAGGUAAAAUAAAGAACAGCAAAAUAGAAUGGAUUCCAACACCCUGCUUCAAAACUCAGAGAUAUAAAAAGGGUUCAUAGGCAUACCACUUGGGAAAUUGUUGAUAAAAUCCCCAAAACAUUAAGCUGAUGAGAGAUAUGGUUAGAUGGUUUUAGAAGUCUUCUAUCUACAUAAAUGUGAAGUCAGUUUCCUUGGAAGCCACUUCAGUAACUGAUAUGGUUUGGUUGUAUCUCCACCCAAAUCUCAUCUUGAAUUGGAAGCCACUUCAGUAACUGAUAUGGUUUGGUUGUAUCUCCACCCAAAUCUCAUCUUGAAUUGUAGCUCUCAUAAUUCCCAUGUGUUGUGGGAGGGACUCGGUGGGAGGUAAUCGAAUCAUGGGGACGGGUAUUUCUUUUUCUUGUAAUAGUGAAUAAGUCUCAUGAGAUCUGAUGGUUUUAUAAAGGGGAGUUCCCCUGCACAUGCUCUCUUACCUGCCACCUUAUAAGUAAGACGUGGCUUUGCUCCUCUUUCACCUUCUGCCAUGACAGUGAGGCCUCCCCAGCCAUGUGGAAUUCUAAGUCAAUUAAACCUCCUUUCCUUUAUAAAUUACUCAGCCUUGAGUAUGUCUUUAUUAGCAGUGUGAGAACAGACUAAUACAUUCCAUCUCUUUAAUUUACUAAUCAUUCCAUCUCUGUAAUUUACCAACAGUUAAUACAAACAAUUUCAUCUUUUAAAACUUUAUGUUUACAUCUGUGGGAUUCUUGGGGUCAAGGCAUAUGAAUACAUGUGUUCAGAAACCAGAUAACUGAAUAUAAAGGUUUUUUUAAAUAAAAACUACUAUUAUCACCAGACUUAAUAUUAUUUCCACAGGUAAUCUUUACUUUGAUUCAAGAGAUGAAGCAAAACUAAGCCUAUCCUAGAGAUUUAAAAUCUAGAACACACUGCCACAGACAUGAAUAAAAUGCAUAAGGGCAAUUUCAAAGUAAUAAAAAGAAAAGUAAACAAAAAAGUUAAUGAAAUAAUUUAUUUCCAUUAUUAGAUAAAGGGUUAAAAUUAAUUGAAAAUCUUAUCAAUUGGUAAAUAUUUUAUUCAAUUUAUAUAAUAGCAUAAAUGUUAUAUCUUUAUAGACUACCUUUGCAAGAAGAUUUCUGAUAUAGUUUGGAUGUUUGUCCUCUCCAAAUCUCAUGUUGAAAUGUAAUCCCCAGUGUUGGAGGUGUGGCCUGGUAGGAAGUGUUUGGGUCAUGGGGGCAGAUGCCUCAUCCCUCAUGAAUUGCUUGGUGCUAUCCUCAUUAUAGUGAGUGAGUUCUCCUGCGAUCUGGUUGUUUAAAAGUGUGUGGCACCACCUCCUCUUUCUCUUGAUCCUGCUCUUGCCAUGUGAUGUGUGGGCUCUCAUUUCAACUUCUGUCAUGUUUGUAAGCUUCCCAAGGCCUCAUCAGAAGCAGAUGCCAGCACCUUCCUGCAAAGCCUGCAGAACCAUGAGCCAAUUACACUCCUUUCCUUUAUAAAUUACCCAGCCUCAGGUAGUUAUAAAAACAUGGCCUAAUAUACUUUCUAAAAUCAUAUCAAAAAGAGACUCUUACUAAUAAAUUCUAAACAAAUAUAUAUAAAGUAAGAAUUCUUGGGAGGAAUUAUAAAGGGAUUGAAAAAUAACAUAAAACUACAGAAAAGUUUCAGAACAUCUUCUCAGUGACCUUGAACUCUUGUGUCUUCACAUCACUGAAUCCUUUGCAGACCUUCCCUAGCACCAGCCUGGCUUGUGGCAGCCCCCCAGGGUGGCUAGACCCAGAAUAGCAGCAGGAGUCAACAGUAGUCUGGCCCUCAGGAAUUGCCACUCUUCAGGGAAGAGGGAGUGCACCACAGCAAGGGAGCACCCCGUGGGACAAAAGAAACCAGCGCGUGAGUUUUGUGUGUCCCGGAACUUCCCACUUGUGGGCAGGGAGCAGUUGCAGUUCUUUCAGCAAAAGUACAAACUCAGUUCUGGGUUCAUUGUGGAGAAGACUGUGGUUCUGCCCCAUCAGUCAUGCAGCCCCAGUGCUAAUGAAGGGAUCAGUAGAAGGGGACUUCUCUCCCUCCCCAUCACUGCAGACACAUCCAAGGCUUCUUCAACUGGAACUCAGCCUGGGUGCACCUGUAGAUGGCAUUUAUGGAGCAUUUUGAGGUGCAGUCCCACAGGAGGUAUGCUCUUUAGUCUCAGGCUUGCAAGAGGGGCAGGGUCCCGAUCCCUCUCUCCCUGGAACAUCAGCAUUGCUAGUGAUGGACAGAGGUGUUCGCCUGAUCUGAAUAUCUGGAACACGGGGACAGAGGCAUCAUAAGGAGGCAGAUUGCUUUCCUAUUGGCCUGAUAGUAGAGCAGCUCCUUUCCUUCCUGCUGAGAAGACCUAACAACAUUUUACCAGGAGCUCCCCGAGCCUCCUCUGUCUGGGCUGAGGGUUUACUCACCAUUGGGGUAUUGCGUAUACCCACCUGUUUCAGGUGCAGCCAGUUCUUAUCCAUGAGCAUCUCCUAAUAGCCUGAAGACUGAACUAUUCAACCCAUUGAAAAAAAAUUCUGGGAAAAGUGUACACCACUGGGGACUGAGAAAAGCUUCAUGAGACCUCUUUCAUCCUGGCCUUACAGGAGACAGUGAGACUGUUCACACACUGUGAUGGUUAAUAUUAGGUGUCAACCUGAUUGGAUUGAAAGAUGCCUAGAGAGCUGAUAGAGCAUUGUUUUGGGGCGUGAGGGUGUUGCCAGAGGAGAUUGACAUUUGAGUCAGUAGACUAGGAGAGGAAAUCUGCCCUAAAUGUGGGUGAAGCACCAUCCAAUUGGCUGCCACUGCGGCUGAGACAAAGGAGGCAGAAGAAGGUGGGAUAAGCUGGCCUGCCGAGUCUUCUGGCUUUCAUCUAUCCCCCAUGCUGGAUGCUUCCUUAUGUUCCUCAUGCUCUUGAACAUCAGAAUCCAGUUUCUUCUGCCUUUGAAUUCUUCAACUUAAACCAUAGAAUACUAUGCAGCUGUUAAAAAACCAUGUCCUUUUCAGCAACAUGGAUGGAGCUGGAGGCCAUUAUCCUAAGCAAAUUAACGCAGCAACAGAAAACCAAAUACUGCAUAUUCUCACUUAUAAGUGGGUGCUAAACAACUGGAACACAUGGACACUAGGAGGGGAACAACAGACGCUGGGGGGUACUCGAGGGUGGAGGGUGGAAUGAGGGACAGGAUCAAAAAAACUACCUAUUAGGUACUAUGCUUAUUACAUAGGUGAUGAAAUUAUCUGUACACAAAACCUCCAUGACAUGCAAUUUACCUAUGUGACAAAUCUGCUCAUGUAUCCUUGACCUAUAAUAAAAGUUACAAAAAAAUUAGUGGCCCAUAAUUAGAGUUUACGGUGAUAAAAAAAGGCUAAAUAUAAUGAACUCACCAUAGUACAUAUUAUACAGUAGAUGCAAAAUCGUGGCUACUUUGCUUCUCAGGAUCGAAUACUAAACAAAAGAAAAAUAAGUAUAUAUCAACAUUUACAUUGGCAAAUACAUUUAUCUUCAGUUGAUUAGAGCAAAUACGAUGCUGUCAGACAAUGCGAGCUCUACUGAGUUGAAUUUACUUCCUAAUUUUAAAUUCUGUACAAUAAAAGCAAGACAAUCUCAAUUUAAAGCCAAAUUGUUUUAUACAGCAAGUUUUAUAUGUAUGUGAAUUCUAGUUUGUUUGUGUGCCUAAUUAAUGAGUUACAAUAUGCAGUCAGUGAUUAAUAAUGAGUGGAUGAGUCUAGAUAACAUUGGGCUGUCUGAUUUUUGCAAGUCUCUCAGAAUCAUGAUGUAUUUCUUUUCAAGCAUGAAUCUUGAAAACUCACAGGCUGUGAAGGGAGGGCUUAGGUUUCAGAAAAAUACCUCAGUGAUAAAGAAGAGAUUGUCUGUUGUGUCAUGACCUCUCAAGCAGCAAUUCUAUAAAUAAGAUGACACAAAGCAGCAUGGCAGGCGUGUACCUAUGAUAACUCAAGUGUGUAUUAUAGAAAUCAAGAAAUUAUUACAUUGUGGCCUAUUUGGCCAAUUUUUAAUUAGAAGCAUUAGUAUGAGUUCUGUAUUUUUGAAAUUGAAUGAGUAAACUCAUGUUGAGCAAGGAGGAUGAUAAAUAAGAAUCCAUGGGUGAUUUAUCACUUCUUCCUGGAGAGCACCUUUAGCAAUAGCAAAUGUAAAUUAAGAUGAUACUACAAAACAGAUUAGUGGAAAAUAGUGUGCAGAAUUCCAGAGAGAUUAACAAUUAGGACGGAAGGUAUUUAAAAAUCACAAAGGAAACUCAAGUGCCUACUAGUCUUGGAAAGAAUUUGUGUUUAUCUAGUUUCUUUAGUCCAAGAAUCUCAGUACAUUUAAAUGGAUUUUAAAUUUACUUUCACAUACUAAAGUAUCCACACUGUAAUUUAAAUCCUACAGAUCAAAAUAAAAAUCAAAGUGUCCUAACUUUAUUGAGAACUACAAAACAGAAAGAAAGCUACUAAUGAAUCUCUCUUGGUAAAUUAUUCACAGACACAUACAUGGGGAAGAUGAGCAGAAAACACUGCACUUCACUAAUACUGUGUGGCAGGAUAAUUUACUGGAAAAUUCAUUUGUGUUUUAUUUUCUCUGCUGAGGAACAAUCAGAAAGAAUGAGAGAGUUCAUUGUGUUUUGUGCUCUGCAUUUUUUCUUAUGUUCUGUGAGGGUCUUUGUAGAUUUUUUUUUUUUUUGCCUCAGGGGAUUUUCAGGGCCUAAAGCAGAAAGUACUUGAAAAUAACCUCUUUUUCGGGUUUUUGUUAAAGUACAAACUGGGGGUCGCAAAUUCAAACUGACAAAGCCAGGCAGGUAUCUAAACGAACAAAGCAGACUGAGUUUAAUUUGUUACUCAUAGGCUCAAUUAAGUGGCUUAAUUGACUAUAUAGGAAUAGUCUUUAUUUUCUUUAGGAAUAUACUUUAUUCCAUUUUUCUUAAAAUACUUAACAUUUUGGUUCAUCUUUUUUUUUUCCUUGAUAGUGUCAAAGAAAGAUUGCACUAGCAUUAAACAGGAAGGAAGGUUUUACUCAAGGCUAGUAAAAUAGGGGUCAAGACUUGCAGUAGAGAAGAGAAAUUGAACUCCACUUCACUGAAACAAAAGACUGUAAGAGUUUUUAAGCACUGGACUGAACUAAUGGAAAAAUACUGGAGGGCUUUUGAUGGGAGGUUGGUCAACGUAAUUAGGUCAUCUGUGUUUGCUAAGAGGUGCCCACUGAAGGUAGGCUUCCACUCACUCAAAGAGAUUUAGACAUAAGGGCACUAUGUUUUACAUUCUGAAAAGAUGCAUUCCAGGUUUGUCAGAAAGAAAUUUCUGGGUUGUAAAAUUGGCAAGAGGCUGGGAGAAGGUUUACAUCUAAAGAGAAAGAAUUUAUAAUUGCAAGUUUUCUAAAGUAAUUGCUCUUAGAAACGUGGACUAAACAGAGUCUCACUUUCAUAUUUUUCUUAUGGUCUUAUUUAUUUAGUUUUUGAGAGGUUGGAGGAAGUUGAAAUCUUUCUUUAUAGUGAUUUACAGAAAGUUGCUGAAAGAAAAGGAUGCCUGAAGAAGUAACUUGGUGGCUUAAAUAUUAAAUUCUCUAAGCUAGGUCAUAUUCUUCAUGUCUCCAAUUUGACUAAAACAAUAUGUCACAAUAUAAAUGAAUUGUGAAUUUAUUUUGAGUGAAUUCAACUGAAUUAUAUAAUUGUAAAAACAGGAUGAAAACACAUUGAACAUAUAUAUGUAUAUAUAUCAAAGAAUAUAUAUACUCUGUUAUCAGGUAAAGAAAUAGAGGCAAAAAUAAGUCCCAGAACCUAUUGUCAGAAAACAAGUAAAACCCCAAAGCACUAGGCUUAUGAGUGCAACUGGGUGGAAGCUUCAAUAGUGUGAUUUAGAGGAAGCUAAACUCAUCUAUCAAAACUAUCUUUUUGGCAGAAGGUCAUGGUACUCAUCAUUUUAUUUAAGUUUUUUUUAGAGAUAAGAUAUUGAUUUUUAAAAAUGUUUAUAUGUUAUUAUAAAGGAGUUUAUGCAAGUAUAAAUUCAACUCUGUAGGAAAAGCUCUUGGAAAUUCUCUUCCUUUAUUUCAUAUUUUAGUGCAUAAGGUUGGGUUCAUUAUACUCCUUGGAUCUAAUCUGGGCUCACUGUAUUUUUUUCUUUGAGGCUUACUGCUCUUUCUUUACUUGCUCCCACUGAGAAGUUUUCUAUGUGUUUUCGUGAAUUGUGUAUUGUUGUUUUGUGUGCAUAUAUUUUAAUGUAUAUAAAUUGUGCCACAGAUCUCAUUUUUUUUGCAAAAAGCACUGUACUUUUGAAUUAUGUUUAUGUUUUUAUGUAUAGAUCUAUUGCUUCUAUUUUCUACUUGAAUUUCAUGUUGUGCAUUGAUUACACUUUACUUGUCUAUUGUGACAAUGAUGGACAAUUUGAUUGACUCUAAUUGUCUGCACCCACAGUAAUGCUGUGGCAAGCACUCUUGUUUGUUUCCAUUAGAAAUCUUUAUAAGAAUUAUCUAAGAAGGGUAUUUUGGGGUUAUAAGUUAUCUUAUUUAUACAAUCAUCAACAAUUGAUUCCCCAGAAUGAAUACACCAGCCUUCUCUUUCACUAGCAGUGCACGGACAUUCCUAUACCACAUCUUCACCCACACUUGCAAUAUAAUGGAUGUAAAAUAAUACUUCAUUGUGCUUUAAUUUUCAAUUAUUUACCUACUAAGUAAUUUAAUCAUGAUUGUGAUAAGUUUGUUAACAUUUUGUGUUUUACCUUCUGUUAGUUGCAUGUUUGUGUCUUGUACCCAUUUCUUUCUAAUACGAUUUCUGUCUUUUCCUUGUUGCCAUAUAGAAGUUCAUUAUUUGCUCCACAUAUAAAAUGCUUAAUUUUGUAAUAAUCAAAUUUUCAAUAUUUUAACUUUUGUUUUUUGCCUUUGUUGUUUCUGCUGUUAGAAGUCCUUAGCUACUCCAGGGAAGCAAAGAUCAUUAUAUUAAUUCCAAUUAAUUUUAAAGUUUAAUCAUUCAUAUUAUAGGUAUUUCUAAGUUUUAGUUUGAAGACCUUUACCCAUACUAUCUCAUGGAUCUAGUUAUUUUACAUGUCCUUUAAAACAGAGGAAAGUGACAAUCAGUAGAAUAAAGGAUAAAAAUGCAUCAUAAAAAAUAAAUAUACAUACCCUUAGACAGAGAAGAAUACAAAAAAAGGUAUAUUUCACAGGAUUAAAUCACAUAAAAAUUGUUAAAUAGUAAUGUUAUGGCCUGAAUUAUAUCCUGGCAAAAUUCAUAUGUCAACACCUUAACCCCCAGUACCUUAGAAUGUGACUGCAUUUGGAGAUAAGGUAUUUUAUUUUAUUUUAUUUUACUUUAUUUUAUUUUUUGAAAAGGAGUCUUGCUCUGUUGCCCAGGCUGGAGUGCAGUGGCACAAUCUCGGCUCACUGCAACCUCCACUUCCCAGGUUCAAGUGAAUCUCCAGCCUCAGCCUCCUGAGUAGCUGGGACUACAGGCGUAUGCCACCCUGUCUGGCUAAUUUUUUUUUAUUUUUAAUAGAGACCAGGUUUCAUCAUGUUGGCCAGGCUGGUCUCGAACUCCUGACCUCAGGUGAUCCGCUCACCACGGCCUCCCAAAGUGCUGGAAUUACAGGCAUAAGCCACAGUGCCUGGCCAGCAAUAAGGUAUUUUAGAGAGAAAAUUAUGCUAAAAUGAGGUCCUUAGGAUAGGCCCUAAUCCAAUCUGACUGACAUCCUGAUAAAAAAAAACUAAUACAAGUGGGUAAACAUGCAAUAGAAUUUUAUGUUGAAUCAUCAGAAAACCUUUCUGCCACUAAAUACUAUCAAGAUUGCAAGAUAAUUACUCCAGAUAAAUAAUGACAAUCACUUCCCAUGAAAAUAUUUACAGCUACUAAUGAUAAAUGCUAAAAUAUUUGUUGUAUCAACUUGUGCUUAACAGGUAGGAGUGUAGAUUGUUAGGUCAUUUUUAAACUUUCAUGCUCUAUUAACUAUUGUUCAUUGUUUGCCUAGCUAUGCUAUUGUAAAAAGAAAUGUUGUAAAGUCUUGGUAUACAUAAUGAAGCAGAAAAACAAUGCAUUUGUACAUAAAUUAAGCUAUUAGCUUAAUUUCUUUCAAGUAACAAUUUUAAACAGAUGCUGAUUCACUCUGCUAAAAUAGGUUGUUUAUUCGUUAACCAAACAUAAAUUAUAAUAAUAGUUACUCCUAUUUCCUAGUUCCCUUAAUAUUCUAUUUCUCAUCCAAAUAAAUGGCUCUUUAUUAGAAUAACAGUGACUACUGUCCUUAUGCAAAUAAAAGUGAGGUAUAUUCCCAUUUGUUAUCAAUGCUUUGACAGCAGAAGCUCAAGUUCAAAAAUGAUGUUUUUUUCUUAAAUAGACCUCUUUCAACCUUUAGAAACCCUGUUGGUCUGAGAUAGGAUUUUUAAUGUACUCAGUGCUUUGAUGAUAACCAGAGCAAUGGCUGUAUGCAACUGUCAAUAAAUACACAUGGGAAGAAAAAGCAUUAUGAAAUAACUCAAGAUAAAAUUUAUUGGUGAGAAUUGGAGCCACUAUCAUCAGUCAACUGUCUCCUUUCAUUUCACCUAGGUAUAUUGCUUUUAAUUUUUUUCAGCUUACCAAGGAUCACAUUGCAGAAGCUAAAGGAAUAGUAAGGACUCACUCAUUGAUUUAUAGAAUGUUCAAGCCUCCUGGUUUUAACUGGACUGAAGUUUAUCUGAGUAAUUCUUAUAUACCUAGAUGAUGACACCUUCUUAGAGUGGUGAUAAAACACCAACUCUGUUCAACAUUAAACCAGCCAGGCAUAGAGGACAGCCACCUUCUCUCAUCCUCAUUCCUGUUGAUAAGAUUAUAUAUCACUGAGACAACAGCACGUCUAAUUCAAGAUAUGAACUGCCUCUUUGUUCUCUCACAUGUAGCGAGGAAAAGCAUUUCAAAGUUUUCCAUCUCUCUAGAACUAAUCAUGACAAGUUGAUUCUCACUAGGUGACAACAUUUUACUCAGCUCUAUCAGAAGAUGUGCACUGUAAACCAAUUUGAAAUACAUUCAGAGAACUUGGCCUUUAGAAUCUUAUAAUCUUAUCUUUAUUUUCACAAAAUAGGAUAAACAGCUGAGAGAAAAAAACAUAUGGAGCAUAUGCAGAGAGUCACUAUUUCCCUCUCCUUCUUUCUCUGUCUUUGCUCUCACUCUUGCUCUGUCUCAAUCCCUCUCUCCCUUUCAUUCUUGCUCUGACACUUUCUUGCUCAUAGUGCAAGGGAUGCACUAGUGUUGUUUUGACCAGGAGUUCAAAUCCUGAUUUUGGUUCUUAAUAUAUGAAAAACUUAAUAAUAUCUUUAUUAGUAAAAUAAAGCUAGUAACACUUACCUCAUAGUCUUAUGGUAAGAGUUAAAAUUAUCUAUUAAAAUACUCACAUGCUUAGCAUAGUGUCUGGCAAACAUUUAUCUCUUAAUAAAUGUUAGUAUGUUCAAACUCCAUCCCUAUGUUGGAUUUUGAAAAAGAUAUUUUACACUUUUGGUUUUCAGUCUGGCAUGUAAGAUGCUUGAAAGUCACCACUCUAUCUAACAAGUAAAAUCAUGUACGAACUAAACUAUCAACGACCCUUUUUACAUCCUUAAGAGAAGUGAGGUCAUAGAGGAAGCACUGCCCCCAAACUGAAGAUACCAAUAGACAAAUACAAAGCAAAAAUGUGUGAGCUGAAACCUCCAUGGGAACCAGAGCUGGUGUAGAGAAACCAGAACUGGAACUGACAAAUCACUGGAGGCUCAGUGUGAACAAGUGUGGGUUAAAGGAUCCAGGGGAACCCUGUCACUGGGGUCACCCCCACACUUUGGUGACUUUUACCUUCUGAAGCUCUACCAGGUUCUCAUAGUGAAUAUCUGAGAAACAUCUCCUGCUUCUAACGGGGAGGGGUAAAGAAUCUAUUUGAAACAUGCCAGAUCACUGUGUCCUUCUGAACAAGGUCUGCCCUUAAGAGAAACUGCUUAACCAGAACCUAACUGCUGGAAUUUUAUCAGAGCUUAGGUGACCUGGGGGAAGAGAAACAUUCAGCUUCAGCCAGAGCUAGCCUUCCACGUGGGAGAAGGGAAACAUCAAACUCCAGUCCACUGCAGUUAUCCUGUUUCAUAAAUAAUGCAAGCAAGAUGUGAAAGGAGUAACAAAUUUAAACUUGGAAAGAAAAAAAACCCACCAACUAGAAUUUUGUACUCUGUGAAGUUAUCCUUCAAACUGAAGGAGAAAUAAUGACUCAGAAACAAGGUUUUUCUUUAGGAGAGAUUAAUCGGGAGUGAGGUCUGCCUAAACCUGAGAUGAGAAGAAUUUGUCUCCUGAGAAUAAUGAUGGAUAUCCCUCAAGAAUUGAAGAUGGGCCAGGGUACACAGAAUGAUUACAUUUGUUCCUUGCUGUUAGGAGGAACAAGCAGAAGUUCCAUAUGCCACCUUCUUCUGCUACUGCAGCAACAAGUGAUAUUCGAGACAGUGAAGCCCCCAUCAAUUCUAGACUGAUAUGGAGCAGAGACGACCUCCUAUACACACUCCCACUACUGACCCAUGGUGGACAAGAAACCAGAAAUUUCAUUAUGUUAAGCUUCUGAGAUAUUUCUGUUUUUUCCACUGAACAUUAUUCUAAUUUAUGUGAUAUAUUUGAUUUUAGAGCUAACUUGUUCUAAAGCUUACAGUCUUUUGCUGGGCAGGGUAGCAGUUCCAGCCACUUAGUAGGCUGAAACAGGAGGAUGGCUUAAGCUCAGGAGUUUGAGACCAGCCUGGGCUAAAUAAUGAGACCCCAUCUCUUAAAAAUAUAUACAAAAUAUAUAAACAAAAAUAAAGCUUACAAUUUUUUUCAACAACAACCUUGUGUAUAGUUCAAACGGAUUUUGUACCCCAUACCUUAGUAACCUACUCAAUGUCAUAUAAGCCUUUCUACCUUUCAGAGUAUCUUCUUGUCAUUCCUUCUUAAAAUGCUCCUCCCAAAUCCUAUUCUGUCUUUUUUUACUACUUUUGAUCUGAACUGUCCAAUAUGUGACUUUGUCCAUAUGUGUCCACAUGCAACUAUUGAGCCCUUGAAAUAUGGCUAGUUCAAAACUGAGAUACACUGUAAGUAUAAUACUGCAUACUGGAUUUUGAACAAUUAGGACAAAAAGAAUAUUAAAUAUAUUCUUAAAAUUAAUUACAUGUUAAAAUGGUAUGUUGGAUAUAUUUGGUUAAAUGAAACUUUAUUAAAAUGAAUUAGCCCUGUUUCUUAUUUUUUUUUUUGUUUUUUGUUUUUAAUUGUGUCUGCUCAAAAAACUAAAAUUACACAAGUGGUUCACAUUUGUAUCUUGAGUAAUAUUUCCAUGGAGAGCACAAAAAUAGAUCCUGAUGAAAGAAUAUAUCCAUCUUAAAACUUUUCUUGAAGAUCUAAAUCAGCUACAGUGACUUUCUUUCUUUUGUAGGGAAGGGAAAAAUAUCUUUUCCUAACCCAUCUGCCUAUCCGAGGUUCUUAGCUGAGACACCUAUAACCAAAGGUAGAUAAACAUACAAAUUUCUUUAAAUAAGUUUUAUGAACACAGAACCCCUCACAAGAAAAUGGAGACCAGAAAAAACAGUUAAACUUGUGUAUGCUUAUGCCUGGAUUGAUGAAGAGUAGACAGUCAUGGAGAAAUAUGAUUGGACAAAAGUUAUGGAAAUAAACUGGGGAAACAGCAAGGCCUGUUUGUUCAGAUUUUUCUGUGUGGCUCUUUGUCUUGAGAUGAGAAUGUGCCUUUCUUCUGGGUAUAAGGAGGGUACCUCUUACAUAAGGUCUUAUAACCAGCUUGAGGGGAGAAGGGCAAGGGGAAGGUGAGAGUGACCUCCUAGCUUCUGCUAUUUUUCCAAAUGCCAAGCUGCCAUAUUUCAGUGUAGCAUGACCUGAACCCCAUCACUCCACAUCACCUUACUCUAUAAAUUCAUUUUGCUAUUUUUUCUAUUUAUAUUAGUCCAUUUUCAUACGCUAUGAAGAAAUACCUGAGACUGGGCAAUUUAUAAAGAAAAAGAGGCUUAAUAGACUCACAGUUCCACAUGGCUAGGGAGGUCUCACAAUCAUGGUGGAAGGUGAAAGAGGAGAAAAGCCACGUUUUACGUGGCAGCGGGCAAAAGAGUGUGUACAGGGGAACUCUCCUUUAUAAAACCAUCAGAUCUCAUUAGACGUAUUCACUAUUCACUAGCACCAGGGGAAAAACCCAUCCCCAUGCUUCAAUUACCUCCCACUGGGUCCCUCCCAUGACAUGUGGAGAUUGUGGGAGCUACAAUUCAAGAUAAGAUUUGGGGGGUAACACAGCCAAACCAGGUUACUAUUGUAUAUCAUUAUAUUAAUGAUGCUUAUCUGAAACAAUUGUCCUGUCUUAAUAGGUACAAAGCUUUUAAAAUUACAGAAUAUUUGUUAUUUCUCUGAGACCUCCCUACAGUACUUUGCAGUCUACUUUGUACAGAUUACACAUUCUAUGAACUGUUUUAACUGAUUUUGGACAGUGAGGUUUCUGAGGAAGACAUUGAUGGCAGGCUGCUUUGAUUUGUGAUUGUUGUAUCUAUUCUGGGCUCUCACCAAAUGCUCACUGGAGUAGACAUUUCAGAGUAUAAAAAAAAGUUAAAAAUUCAAAAACACAAAAGGCACUCAAAUAAACCAGGAUUUGAAAAUCACCAAUUUCAAUUUUUCUAAACUCUUAAUGAGAACCUCACCUGGUCUAUAAUUGAAGAUCAACCAAAGGUCAUGCAGAAAAACAAAAUAGAAUGUAACAAGUAAGCUCUUCUACUAUUUCAUGCUUAGGUACAUUGACAGCGGGCCUCAUAGAAAUGGGGCUAAUCUAAAAAUAAAUAUCCAUAUUUUGGUUUGAAGAAAUAAUUAUCCUAUGCAAGUUCUUAGACCCAUCUCUAGGAAUACUGAAAGACAGAUAUUUUUCUCACACAAGUAAAUAUUCUACCAUGUUUCAAAAAAAAGUGAAAGACAAUAAAAAUGGUAUUGGAAAGAGUGUGCUAAAGAUGACCAUCUGUUCUCCAGGAGGUGAAAGAAAAGGAGCUUAAAAUUACACUAAGGGACAUAGUAUGUUUACAAAGUAUACUAAUACUACAGAGACUGCUGGAGAAGGCAUUAAAGAAGUGUGCAGGGAAGCAGCAAUCAACUGUGCCCUAAAGCAGACAGGAGAAGCCAAGUGUAUGGCAAGGAUUGGGUCAAAGACCCUUCUGGGAAGUCAGCACACCCCUGCCUGAUUCAGGAUUUGCUGGGAGAGGCAGUUCAAAAAUCUAAGACUUUACUGGAUUGUCAUUGUCCACACACAAUCUGCUUAGUGAAACUUUCUAA
rnacentral:lncRNA from 10 species